ACAAAUUUUCAAAGUUAAGCCCUUUAUAAAUAGGGCAUACAUUCAGUUUAAAAAACAUUCAAAAUCUAACACCUAAACACAAAAAAGCAACAGCAACAUGGCUAGAAGAAAUUAUCUUUCUUCCUUUGAGAGAGCAGCCAUCCUCCAAUUUUUGCUUGAAGGUAGCAAAAAUGGCAAACCAGGUAGAGGUAAGCUGACUGCAGCGGUGCAAAAGCGGAAGAGCUCGCGAAGAACCAUCAGUCGACUUUGGGAAGCUGCAAAAAAGUAAAAGGAUCGCGGUGAGGUAAUUAGUUCUUUGAGUCGUAAAUCAUCAACAAGAAAAAAAAACAUGUAGAAAUUGAUUUAGGGUUGAUUGCUAGCAUAGACUUGGCAAAAAGAUCUACCAUUACAAGGCUAACAUGUGGGAUUGGAUGCAGUAAAAGCACAAUAGGCAGGUGGAUUCAAUCUGGGCUGAUCAGGGCUCAUACAAAUGCAAUUAAACCUGAUCUAACGGCUCCAAACAAGUUGCUUAGGUUACGGUUUUCCUUAGAAGCUCUAGAAUAUGAUAGGAUUCUUAGGAGUUUGACGUUUAAAAGCAUGCACAACACAGUCCAUAUUGAUGAGAAGUGGUUCUACACCACAAGAAUAUCAUAAAGGUUCUAUUUGACCCCUGAAGAGACAGAACCUCACAAGACAUGCAAGAGCAAAAAGUUCAUCACUAAAGUGAUGUUCACGUGUGCUGUGUGUCGGCCAGUGUUUGCAAGUGAUGGCAGUUGCUUGUUUGAUGGCAAAAUUGGCAUAUUUCCAUUCACUGAAUUGGUGGCAGCCAAAAGGAAGAGUAAAAAUAGGGAUGCAGGGACAAUGGAGGUGAAACCAAUACAAAGCAUCACCAAACAAGUUGUGAAAGAAUGCCUCAUCAACAAGGUACAAAUGGUGAAUGAAACAUGCUCUAAAUGUAACAAUUGCAUGUACAUAGUUCAAUUAAUUUCUUUAUAUGCUUAGUUAAUGCAAUGCAUGGUAGAUUGAUGUAAAGUCUGUUACCAUUUGUUUUUAAAUUCAGAUUGUUCCUGCUAUUAAAGCAAAUUGCCAGCAGGGGCUAGCAAAACCAUAUAUAUACAACAAGAUAAUGCUAGGCCUCACAUUCAAGACUCAGACCCAGAUUUCAGGACAAUAGCUUCAGCAUAUGGCUUUGACAUUCACCUGGUGUAUCAACCACCAAACUCCCCAGAUACAAACAUCAAUGAUCCGGUGUGGUUUAGGGCAAUACAGAGCCUACAAACUGAAUUAGUUUGUACCAGUGUGGGUGGUAUCGUGAAUGCAGUCAUUAAUUCAUUUAAUGAAUUAAGCCCAAACACUUUGAAUAAAGUGUUUUUAAGCUUACAGAGUUGCAUGAUUGAAAUUCUGAAGGUUAAAGGGAAGAACAACUAUAAAAUUCCACAUAUGAGGGAAGAUGCACUAAUUAGGCAGGAUAUGCUCUCAUUGAAUCUCCAAGUUCCAAGUAAACUUGUUAGGGAAUGCAUAUCUUACCUAAUUGACAAUGGAGCAUUGUCAAUUAGUGAUACACUAAUGCAAGUGUUGGGAGUGCAUGCAGGAUGUACAAAUGAGCUUGAGGUGAUGGUGCAUCACCUUCAAAUUCAAGGAAAUGAAGUAAUGUGAAAAAGAAAGAAGCAUUUGGCAAUGAAGAGCAGCGGAGAAGGUGAUGUGUUGAAGAAAAGUGAUGAAGAAUGACUGAUUUUGUAAGUAAAAACUGUGAAGGUUUGCUUUUUGUAAAUGAUCUGCUCUAAAUGAUUGAAAAGUGUGAAUGAUUUCAUUUUGUAAAUGAAUGUUGGGCUAAAUGAAUGAAAAGAUGAAUGUUGGUUUCAUUUUGUAAAUUAUCUGCUCUAAAUCAUUCAAAAGUGUGAAUGAUUCAUUUUGUAAAUGAAUGUUGGGCUAAAUGAAUGAAAAGAUGAAUGUUGGUUUCAUUUUGUAAGUGAAUGAAUGAAUAAGCAACAACAAACAGCAGCCAACAACACCAAAUCAAACCAACAAACAGCAGCCAACAACACCAAAUCAAACCAACAACAACUACAAUUAGUAGCAAACAUCAAGCACCAACAAUCCCAAAUCAAACUAGACAUAAGGACACCAAACCAUAAGAACAAGGGAACCAUUAAGAAUCAGGAAUUUUUCAUCUCAUUCAAAAGAAAAUCAAUCAUAAAUGUAAAAAAAAAAACAGGGACCUAAUGUAUGAGCAUUAAAUCAUCAUUUCAGACCCACAUAAACACACAUAACACAUAGUACAAUCACUACAAAUCCCACGUGCAACAGCUUAAAUUCGGAUCAUGGAGAGCAAAUUAGGGAUUAGGGCAUAUCUCACUAGAAAAAAGCCAGGAAGCAGGAUUUUUAACAUCGCCAACUCGCUGUCAGCCAUUUCCAUGUGUUGCCAAUUUUCCUCAUAAAGAAAAAAUGAAUCGGGGUAAACAUCACAAUCGGAGACCAUCGGAGUAAUGAUAGGGCAUCUACCUUGUUGGGCUAAAGCCAGGCGACCCCGUUCUCUGCAUCGAUCUUCGAUCACCUUGAACUCAAUCCAUGUCUGUAACGAACUCAUCCAUUCCCAAUCGUAAGAAUCAUCGUAGUCUGUCGACACUCUUUCGAUUAAAUCCCUCAGAUUUUGGAAAUAAACUCAUAGAGAAAGGCGACGAAGACGGAAGAUAAACAGAGAGAUAGAUCUGAUUUCGGGUAGGGUUUACAUCACAUGGAAUUUUCUAUCGGGGACGAUGGUGGAGGCCAAAUUGGUGAGAGACAAAUGCAGAGUGGGCAGCGGCUUACACCCAAACAAGGCAAUGACGGUCAGCAGGCGAAGAGAGAGAGAGAGGUUUCAGGCGAAACCUUGGAGAGAUGGAGAGAGAUAGAUUUAGGGUUUGAGUGAGAGCGGCGGACGUGAGAAUGAGAAAGGGAAAAUAAUUUACUCCCUCGAAUUUUAGAUCCGGAGACCUCUUGAA
rnacentral:lncRNA from 1 species